GUGCUCGAUCUGGCAGCACCUAUACUAAAAUUGGAAUGAUUCAGAGAUUGACAUGGCCCCUGUGCAAGGGUGACAACGCAAAUUUGUGAAAUGUUCCAUAUUUAU